ACUACCGGAAAAAGAAGGUGAAGGCGAAGAAGAAAGCCACUCGAGGGCGGCAGAAGCCAUUUUGUAUCAAGCAUUGUUGGGAGGGGAAAAAAAGGGAGAACGUCGUGUUCUAAAAGAAUCGUUUAAACCUUUUUGAAUAUAUAAUUCCGAACCAAAAGGUGAGUUCGGCGGCGUGCUGUGUGAUAACGCUGUUUUUUUUCGAAAGAAGGCGAGCCUCGUCAUCAUCAUGAGUUACGGAAGGCCUCCGCCCGACGUCGACGGCAUGACUUCUCUUAAAGUGGACAACCUGACGUAUCGAACCACACCGGAGACCCUUCGGCACGUAUUCGAGAAAUAUGGUCGCGUCGGGGACGUGUACAUCCCGCGAGACCGCUAUUCCAAGGACAGCCGCGGUUUCGCAUUCGUCCGCUUCCACGACAAGCGCGACGCAGAGGACGCCAUGGAUGCGAUGGACGGCGCCCUCCUAGACGGACGCGAGCUGCGUGUGCAGAUGGCCCGUUAUGGACGACCACCGGAUUCGCAUUACGGAGGUGGCGGGCGUCGAGGAAGCGGCGGCGGAGGAGGGGGGCCGCCCAGGAGGUAUGGAGGGUCGAGUCGCCGAAGCAGAAGCCCUCGACCCCGGAGACGCAGCCGCUCUCGCAGCAGGUCCCGCUCUCGCUCCCGAAGCAGAUCCCGUUAUAGCCGCUCCCGCUCCAGGUCCUACUCCAGAUCCAAGUCCCGCUCCCCCAGGAACAAGAAGACCAACGCCAAGUCCAGGUCCCGCUCUCGCUCUAGGUCUGCCAGCCGUUCUGCCUCCCCCCCGAAAAGAGGCUCUGGGUCCAGAUCUAACAGCCCACCCAAGUCUCCCGCCAGGAACGGAGGAGACUCUCCCUAGUUUUCAGCAACGAGUUGAGGCGAAACAGAUGAUGUGGUUCCCGGAUAAGAAGUUGCUUGAUCCUGAUGGUUGUCCUCAUGACUUCUGCGUCUUUUUUUUUUUUUUUUUUGGCUUCUUCUUUUUGAAUUUCAAGUUCACCCCUUCGCUGUAGCGAUUGGGCCAAUGUUGCCAGGAACGUUUACUGUUCUGAGGUUUCUAGCAGUGUGUCCACUUCCUGUCCUUUCAGGACUCCGAAGCAUUCAGUUAGUGUGAUUUAAUACAUUAAAAGCUUAAUAUGUUAUCGUCGGCUGUUAACGUCAGGAGCUUUUUUUAUUUUCAAUAUUCUGUCUUUUGUGCACUAGGCGCAGUUGUGUAGCAGUUGUUGGUAAGCCGCUAAGGUGUUGCUGUGUGUUGCUGGUGUUGCUGUGCCCACAACGCUGCAGUAUUCUUCCCUCAGCGGUUUUUUACUUGCAGCAACUGGAGCUGUGCAGCGGCAACCUGGAAGCGCUGCAGAGCCUUUUUGGUCAACUUAAACUGUUGUAUUUCACACAAGCUUAAACAUCCAUCACUUAAAACGUAAUGCGCUAUUUUAGAAAUGAAAAUGAGCACUCGAGUAUAGAAACGUGUCUACAAUAUCAACAAAAGGUUGGAGAUAGGCCAUUUGGGUGACAUUUUGGGAUACACCUAAAAUACACUAACCUUUACAGAUGAACUUAAUUUGACUAAGGUUUGAGCCCCACACUGCACUUACACCAUGCUAUCACGAGAUGAGCAAUAGUUUUCAAUGUUUUUGUGUAGUAAUUUGAUGGCAGACUCAGCCAUCCAUCCAUUUUCUACACCACUUAACCUGUUGAGGGAUGCUGGUGCCUUUUCCAGUUGACUUUUGGAAAAAGUUACACCCUGUAUUGGUCACCAGUCAAUCAGAAUCGGGUUUAAUGGCCAAGUGUGUAAAAAAAAAAAAAAAAAAUUCAUUUUUUUCUCCGCCGGUCGGUGCUGCCCUGGUACGACAUUCAGGAUAAAUGAACGAGGAACAUUUCUGUUUACGGGAACUGUUCCUUAUGAGAUGUUCAAGAUGUAAAAUAUAUAUACAUCUUGUAUAGAAACAUAGAGUGAUAACCAAUCUUAUUCUGACCAUCGCUGAGUGGGGCCACUACACUAGGCCUUUGGACCUGACCUAAACAAUAGUCUGCAUUUACAACCUAACUUGUAAUGCUGUAUAUGAUCUAUGAAAUGUCAUUCUCCCCAGGCAACUGCUAUAGACAAUUUAAUGGUUAGAAAUGAUGGGCAGAAAAGUGGACUAUUGCUCACAAAUGACGCCUCAGGUUGUCCAUCCAGCUGUAUCCAAAAAGGUAGUUGUCCUGCCCAAAUUCCCUAAAAUAAAAGUGCUGUAACUAGAGCCAUCAUAAAUAGUUCAGAGAAGACUGCAAGAUGUAUUCGCAACUUCUAAAAUCGAGACACUGGGAAGUAGACAUCCAUUGUCCGUUGGGUUUGUGGAAGUUAUUCUUAAAGGCAUAGUAUGUCUCAAGAAUUUGGAUGGGUAGUUAUUUACCCAAAUCAUGGAUACCCUGCAAGUAGCUCUUACUAGAUGCCAUUGUCAGAAUUAAAAGCACACCCGUGCCAUUAAUCUAAAGGCACGGGUGUGCUUUUGUCCUUUAAUGACCGUGUUAACUUUGAAUAGCGGGUUUGUUUUAUGGACUUCCGUGCUGACAUUUAAAUUAUGACUGGUGUUUCUUGUCCCAAGCAUUUAGCGUCAAUAUUUUUGACUAGAAAUUCAUAUCGCACUCAAAACUUUGGUGAUAGAGAAGGCUAAAAUCACCCCAACAGCCAUUGCUGUUUAUUCCGCAAAUGCGCUGACCUGGUCGAAAAGUUUUUUGAUUUUUUUUUUUUUUUUUGGGGGGGGGGGAGUAUCACUUAGGCUCCCCCCUUCCCGAUUUACAAAAUGUUUUCAAACUUAAUACGAACCACAUUAGUAAAAAAAAUUGAAUCCGAUGUUAGAGGAUGCAGUAAAACUAGAGACAUAAGCGAAUUUGUCACAAGUUGAAACCCAAAUAUACUAUAUAACUCCAUAAGGUUUAAAACAACAGCCGUAAAACCCACCCUCAUUCUAGAUGAGGGAAUAUUGUGAAACACUUACGAGACAAGUACAGAACUAAGUGACGCUUUGACUUCUCGGUUCGUAGCGAGCAAAAGAAGAUUGACGCACUUUCGUGGCAAACAGUUCAAUGAAAAAUAGCAGGUCUACAUCUUUCCAUGAAACAAUAUAAAGGGUAAAGUUCGUUGAAACUUUUAAUUUGCUGGUAAUCAACAACUUGCCCCAGAAGUUUUUGAUUACACCAAUGUACUAUAUAAA